rnacentral:rRNA from 1 species
CUUGUGCUAAUACCGAAUAAGCCUUUACGGGGAAAGUUUUAACGCCGAAAGAUGAGCCUGCACUUGAUUAGCUAGUUGGUAAGGUAAAAGCUUACCAAGGCAACGAUCAAUAGCUGUUCUUAGAGGAAGACCAGCCACAUUGGGACUGAGACACGGCCCAGACUCCUACGGGAGGCAGCAGUGGGGAAUCUUGCACAAUGGGGGAAACCCUGAUGCAACGAUGCCGCGUGAGUGAAGAAGGCCCUUGGGUUGUAAAACUCUUUCGUCGGGGAAGAAAAUGACUGUACCCGAAUAAGA